rnacentral:lncRNA from 1 species
CGCAGAAUAAGGAAGAGGACUGGAAUAAGAGUAAGAAUAAGGACUGGAAUAAGGAGGGUGCUCAACACAUGUUAGUGUAAACUAGAGCAGCUGAAUGAAGGUCCUCUACAGCAUCAGACCAGCCUCUCUUUUUGCGGGGAACAAGGCACCCUUGUGGGGCUCUCUCUUCUCCUCUCAUUUCCAGUCUGGCAUGAUGAUUCAGACUCCAUGCUGGAAAAGCCCUCAGGGAUGACUAGUCCUCACUGUCCAGUGUGGUAGCCACAGGCACACACACCUUUUGAGCAAUGGAAAACAUGGCUGGUCCACACUGACAGGUGCUGUAAGUAUAAAAGAUACACCGGGUUUUUGAGGAUAUAGUUGGAAACAAAAGAAGUCAAAUAGCCUCUUAAUAUUUUUAAAAAUAUUGAUUACAGGUUGAAAUGAUUAUAUUUGGGUAAAAGAAAAUGUACAAUAUUAUUCAGAUUAAUUUUCUUAUUUCUUUGUACUUCUUUCAUUGUGGCUAGAAAUUUUGUAUGUGGGCCAGGUGUGGUGGCUCCCACCUGUAAUCCCAGCAGGAGGAUGGCAUGAACCCAGGAGUCUGAGACCAGCAUUUGCAACACAGUGAGACCUUGUCUCUAAAAUAAUAAAAAGAAUUACUUGGGAGGCUGAGAUGGGAGGAUUGCUUGAGCCUGGGAGGUCAAG